rnacentral:lncRNA from 1 species
GGAAAUGCCAGUGACAUUGCUGAAUAUCAAUCUGCUUCAUCAAUAACAAUCCCGACUAGCUACACCACGACCGUGUUUGCAUCUACUACACUAUGUCGUGCCUUGCAUCAUCAUCUUCCUCAACGCACAUGUGCUGCCGUCAGAAGCAAUGAUUCCACCUCCAACACCUAUAGCGCAGUCAUCUACAUCACCUUUUCCAACAGCAACUAUACUGACAGAUCUUGUCUCUACUUUGACCUACUGCACCACUACGUCGAUGACUACUUCUACCUUGGAGACAUGUAUCAAGGCGCCACCUGCCAACACUACACCAACAUUAGACCUAGAUGCAAGAGAUAAAUCUACCAUCGACAUGGAGGGGUUUGCCUCCACCAGAUCGUCUACUUCUCCAGCCCUCACUCUACACUAGGAUGACAAUGAAUCUACAUCUACAACUACCUCGAUUUCAUCCUUCAUUGACAACUCCGCGGAGCAACACGUACAAGUGAUUGUUACUAUGACUCCUGUCACGGGAACUAUCAUGGCAUCACCGCGCUCGUCGACAGUUUUUGAGGCCAUGACCUCGCAAUCUCCUACUCAAUGGUCCUAGGCUCCUGGGUUCUUGGAUCGUCAAACAUUCCCACUCCCUCCAACCCUUCCAUGCCAUUAAUUACAUUGAUCAGACUUUAGCCACUUUUCAAAUCAUGGCCAUACAUUAUUUAAUGUAGUAAUUUCCUUCCAAAAUAUUCUUUAUUACUUUCUCCUAAAUAUUGCUUUCCCGAUCACCUCAAUACCACUCACAUCCAGUUCCAUGUUCCCUGCCACUAAUUCCAUUGCACACAUUAGUUUUUAAAACCGCUGUGUUAGCACAGGUGAUAUAUAUUAAUAGGCUUGGAAUGACCCUGCAAUUGUGUGGCUAGAGAUUAAUUUUAUUCGCAGGUCCAAAAAGGAGAGGAAUUUACAUUAACUCAAUAUAGGUGCUAAUUUGCAAUGCUUAACCGUUCGUUAAGCUUAUUAUAGGAAGUAAAUAUAACUUCAAAGUGUUGCAAAUCUGGUUUUCCAUCCACGUAAACACAUGUACUAAGGUUGAGAAUACCAUUCAAGAGUAAAAUGUACCUAGGAUUCUGAUCUUGGUCCAUAUAUAUAGUCUCUUAUUGUGAGCAUCUAGAUCCUUAAACAACUUUUUAAAUGGUUCACUCUAAGUUCACAUUAGGUGCAGUAUUAAGUUUGGAUUUUCACUUGAAAUGAACCACUUGACAAGUUUAAGGGCUCACAUGUUCACUUAGAGAGUUAUUUUAUCUCGAACACGUAAGAGAAUUGUGUAUCAUUAUAUUAAGAAGAAUAAAGAGUUUAGGGUCUAAAUGGAAAUUCAGAACAAGUUAAAGGUCCAUGGGUGCGCAUUACUUCAUUUUAAAACACCAGAGUCCUAUUCUUGAAGGAAACCUGCCAUAUUUAGCGUUCAUAUAUCUGUGCAUAAAUAAGGUAAAAGAGCAAAUAAAUGGUUGUCCUGCUGGUUUUGAUGCAUGCACGAUUAGUCUUUGUCCCAAACUAAAAACAUGACACCUUCGGUUUCUUCAUGUUGGCUGAUUGUAACUUGCAUUUUUUUUAGUCUCAGAAUUCUAAUUGAUUCAGCGCGCGCCAUCAAGGCAACAUGGGUUGUGUUCGAUGAAAGAGGACCCAAUGACAAAGGUCUUCUGGACCUCAUCAAAUUGUUCAGCGCCUUGCAGCCUGCAAGUAAGCUUGUUUAUACCUUGACACAAAGUCUGAAUCAUGUCAGGCAAGGAAACUAAAAUCCCUGGUUUGAAUUUUUCUCUUGCUUGCAAGUACUGCUGUGUAUUAUUCUGUGUGAACUGAAAUAUGCCGGUGUUGAUCUCCAACAGGAGCAUGUUCUUGCCUGCAACAACUCAUAUGCAGAAUUGCAGAGAUAACCAUGCCAUGUUGAUCUUCAACAAGAGCAUGUUCUUGGCAUACAUCUAUCUUUACGACGACAAGACUUGCGAGCUGGAUGGCUCAACAAAGACCACAUUGCGUCACCAUUAAACAUUAUUGUGGAUAUGUAAGUGUAGUAUCAGAGUUUCAGUUUGCUGGUAUGAAUAUGAACCCUCAGUGAAAACAUAGGUUGGUAUUUUUCAAGUGUCCAUCGCUCAUGUGGUGUUGUCCAGAUUGCAUAAUGUUCUAGAGAGAUAAGGUACUCAGGUUCAGAAGCAGCAUUAUCUUCUCCAAUGGAAUACAAUAUCUGUGGAGUCGAGGCUGGUAGGUCUAUAUCAUAAUUUUGUUUCACUAUCUGAUCAUUCAUCUGGAUAGUUUAAGUCUCCUAAUAACAUAUGUGUGGGGUGGGGGUUAUUACUUGUAACAAGUUUUCGUUGUGCUACAGUCAGGUGCUCAACAUCUCAUCAGCAUGAUUAGCAAGAAACAACAGGAGAAAAGUUGUAAGGCCAUAGUAGUCUUUUUUUCAGAUUCACUUAUCGGCAGUUACUUGUCACGGCGAUCAAGGACUUAUCAUUUGAACUAUGUAUCUGCAACAAAGGGUGCUACAGACCGGGUUAUAGAACAAAGGUGACAAGAAAGUUUAGGUUAUACAUGGAUGGAGAUGUAUAGCUCAGUACGAUCAGGACAUGGAGGAGAUAUCCUACCACAAAGGUACUAUUGCUGUUACGAUCAAGGACUGCUAAAUCUGAAACAAAUAUUUGAUCCAAGGAAAAAUAAAAGAAAGCAGAAGGAAAUUUCCAUCGUACACAGCACAGGUUGAUCAACAAAGUUAAGAUGACAUAAAACUAAGUUAAAACUACAGCUGAUACAAGAGAGAACCCACAUGACUAAAACUAGAUAAACAUGGGAUUCCGCUGAAGAUAGCCUGCUCCUAGCUAGCCUGCUACUACAUAACACAAUUUUGCACUUGAGACAAGCAACAACCAUGGAUUGGUCAGCAGCUGCAUGCAGAACAUCUCUCACAUGUUCCCAUUGAAGAAAGCAUCACCAUUGCUGAGGAAAUCAGAUUGUCAGAAAGAAAAAGUUUAGAUAAUUAAACCUUAUUUAAGUAUUCAUCAGUUUCACAUGUAAAUCCUGCUGUAAAAUAAAAGGAUAGGAAAAGAGCAAGAAUGGUCUUACUUGCUUAACCCAGUCAGCCAAAAAGUCAUCCAAAUCAUCAAUCAUCGCCCCAUCUUGCGCUUCGCUUGUUCCGGUAGGGUGUUCAUUGUUGUUACUCACUUGAUCACCAACAGCUUGCUGAUCAACGGUGCCACCUCCAAGGAAGUUUCCAGAUGAACCCCUAUCACUCAGCAUCUGCGUCGGCAUAACAGAAUUUCCUAUCUGAAGGUUAGCCAAUGCAGGUCCAACACUUGAAGAACUACCCAAGGCAGAACUACCGACCGACAUUGCAGAGAUUCCAAAGUUGAAUGGUGCCACCUGCCCACUAAAACCUAGCAUUGGUGUGGUUCUCCCUGAUAGUCCUGCCAUUUGAUUAUGAUAUUCACUUCCAAAAGUUGGAACAUCGCCAGAGGAGGCUACAAAUCUUGAUGUCUGGUUGAUCCUGGCACUGCUUCCCUGUGAUGAACUAAUAAUAGAUGUUCCUGCACUAUGACCAACAUCAGGGAACCUCGAUUGCACACCAACACUCCAAGAGUUGCUAGGGUUACAAAGUCCAGCAAAUUGGUGAGAUUCCCUAGCAACUUGGUUGAAAUGGCCAGUUGGAGAUGGCUGAAUCUGGAUUGAAGGCUGGUUCACCAACUCCGACGAAUGCGAUGGUAAAUGAUGACUCGAAGGAGCCACUUGGUUGAAUAGGCCAGUAGAAGAUGGCUGAAUCUGAAUUGAAUGUUGGUUUGCCAACUCAGGAGACUGCAACGCUAAAUAACUGGGAAGAGCCGGCAUAUCACCACCUGCUAUCUCUUCAAAGAAGCUGUCGGCAUCAAAAGGAAUACCUCUAUUUGCAUCCAACAUCUUGCGACGCAAUAUGCUUGCAUACGAGCUGCAAGAACGAGUCGAAGGAAAGUGCAUGCUGGUGGUCGAUGGUGAACUGUCAUUUGAGAUGUUUGCAAAUGAAUUGCCAGAAGUACCAGAAGAGAAAGGUCUGCUUGUGUUGAACACCACACCAUUUGAUAUAUUUCCAGAUGAGCUGCUAGAAGGACCAGAAGGGAAGCACUGGCUUGCACUUGACAGCCCACCAAUUGACACGGUUCCAUAGGACCUGCCAGAAAAGAUUGAUCUGCUCACAUCCUGCACUGGCACUGACACUGGCACAACAUUUGUGGGCAGGUUGACACCAUUGCCAACUGGUUCGGUAUCCUGCUGUAAAUUGUGUGUUCCGAAUGCUGAUGGGCAACUUAUCCUUGCAAAACCAUUGCUUGAGCUGGACGUGCCAAUAGAGGAUGGAGAUGGUUGCACAAGUUCUAGAUGAUCCUGGGAACUGUUUGGUCCAUUCAUGUUGGCAGUUGUGUCACUCAGCCAUGCUUGUGGUUCAUCAACAAAAGGAUUUGAAUGGCUGAGUGUGCCCUCACUCAGCUUCCUCAGGUAGAUACGGUACUUCUGAAAUCAAAAGAUAGACAAGUUUAUUUCGUUAAUAAAAAAGAUUGAUAAGGACGUCAACACACAAUUGAAAGUGUUUUGUAGUAGUAAUGUUACAAAUGUAUGUGUUAAUCCCAAACUCAAUAUUUGUGUGCAAGCCAUUAGAACUUUUAUGUGUGGCACACGCAAGGUUCAGACGAGUGUCGCACACACAAAUUCCGUUGACAUAAACACAAGUAUUGUGUUUGAGAUGAUAACCCAGAAGAAACAAGUUUGAUUGAAUAUAUUGAACAAUAUUAUAGCAGAAAGAACUCAAACAUAGUAUUCAAGCAUAAUAGUAGAAACAAAACCUGCAGAUGACUUGCAACAUUGUCUCUACUGAGGCCGUCCACAUUCAUCACUUCAAGUAUGUUCUUUGGAACAGCCCCUGCAUUAACAGAAACAAAAUAAUUGUUACUUGAAACAAAUUUAACAUAAGAAUUAUGCUUCUUGUUGAUAGAUUUGCAACAAAAAGAGAAUCUUACUGUCCAUGCCAAUCUGAUUGAUGGCUUCCACAAACUUGCGGUGUAGCUGACCAGACCACUUGAUCCUUUGCCUCUUCUGGGUUGAUGUCCCCUCCUUGUCCUUUUCAGCACCAUCUCCAUCCUUUUUGUUCUUCUUCGAGUGCUUCGUGUGGUGUGCACUUUUCUUCCCAUCAGUGACGCUGUUCCUCACAUCGGUUCUAUCCUUCCUCACCACAUGCUUCCAUAUGUUUCUAAUAUGUUCCAUGCGUGCUGGCUUCACCAAAUAGUCACAAGCCCCGUUCUUUAUACCCUUCAUCAUAAUGUCCAUCUCAUCGUUUGCGGAUAGCACUGCAUGACACAUGGUCAACACAAGAUUAGUUAUGAAAUGCAAAAGCCAACAAGCUUGAUAGACUGGACAUCAAAUAAUUAACGUGCCUUUAUGUUAAUCAUUAGAGAUAUUUUUCCUUUUUCAUUUUAUUGAGUCAUUAUAUGUGCUGUUUACAUUAUGUUUGAAGAAAGUGUGUCACACAUGCUGCAGAACACCAAGUCCUGGCCAUGGCCACUUUUGCGUUUCAAAGAAUUUAAUAAGAGAAUUUAUAGAAUGUACAUUGUUCACCACAUCCUUAUUAUGAAAUCAACAAUAGCUCUAAUGACCAAUAUUCUUUUAAAGAAAACCACAAAAGUUUGUAGUUAUCUUGUGUGCACCAAGAGCUUACUAACCUACUGUGAUGCAUGAAACAUCAAAUGGUAGGAUUCUUAUUCGCUUGAUUUCAGCUAGUGAUUAUGAACUAACAAUAAUGUACAAAUUGUACUAGAAGCGACAAAAAAAUCAAUUGCACGUAGGGCUUACAUACAAACCUUAACUAAUGUAUGAAACUAAAAAUAACAAAGUAAAGGGAUCAACUUAAUGCCUUGACAACAAAAAAAUAUAGCAUGUAGGACCUCCAAACAAACUGUAAUGUAUGAAACUAAAAAUGACAACAUUAAGUGAUCAAUUCAACACCAUUUAUGGCUGGUAGACAAUUGGUAACAUACAAAAUUAUAAACAAGAAAAUUCAAUUGCAUGUAGGGCUUACUAACAAACUGUAAUAGUAUAUGUCGACGUUUAGUAACGUCAACUGGUGAAGAUUUGCCGCGUGAAUUCUCGGAUGGAUUAGCUCGCAAGACACAGGAGAUUUAUACUAGUUUGGGCGAUCCGCCCUACGUCCAGCUCGUGGUACAAGUUCUUUAUUCAUGUGCUUGAGGAGCACAGGGCUCAAGUUUGUAGUAGGGGUUACAAACGGUGCGUGUGUUCUACUGGGGAUCGAAUCCCUCUCCCGUUCCCCUCCAUGCCCUUAUAUACACGGCUCAUGGGAGGUGUUACACUGUUGGUCGCGUCCUCUUAUUCAGUUAGGAGCAUCCCUCUGACCAGUGGCCAUAGGCCCCGUCCCUCAGUCGGGGCUUCUCCUCGCUUGACUUCCGUCGAAACCUUCAUCCGGGGCCCGUUCAUCCGGUCGCCUCGGUCACCGAACCUGACCCCUACACUUAUCCGAGGGCGGCACCUGUCAUCAGUCUCAUCACCUGGCGUUGCCAUGCUGGUGGACAGAGACUGGGCAGGCAUGACCGGGCACAGUGUUGCGACACCGUCCCCGACUGGGGAUCUUUGUCUUGAAGUGGUUGUCGUGCUCUCCUAGGCACAGAAUACGGUACGCCUGACUGGUCAGCCCGUGUUUUCUUGUCUCAGCCCACGCGAGCACCGCUACGGUUGUCAUAUCAGGCAGACCUAGCCACGCCCUAGGGACGUGGUAGGCCUGGCCCAUCAUUGCGCCUCGGCCUUCGCUUGGUAACUUGGGCCAGGCUAGCAAACUGUUUAUCUUGAUUCCCGGGCCUCCUUCUGGGGCACCGCCGGUUAGCUAAAUAAUGAUGUCAGUGGUUUUUCGUUCGGCCCAAUCGGUAUCUUCUUCCUAAUCUCACCCUUUUCCGGACUUGUCGAUCCGGGCUUGUCGAUAGAUUAAAGUAUCCCUAAUCUAGAUACCCGUAAGUAUAUGAACUAAAUUAGAAGUAACAAUAUGAGUGGUCAGUUCAACACCAUCUAGCUCUUAUGAACAAGCAGAAACGUAGAAAACACAUGCAAAAAGUUCAAUUUUUUUGUGGAGCUUACAAACAGGCAUAACAUAUGGAAUUACAAAUGAUAAAAUUAAGUAAUAAUCAUCUUGGCUGCACCACCAUGCCCUUACGAGAAACUAGGAACAACCAAAAUUGCAGAAAACUUAAACUAUAGUAUAUUAUAGUUUGAUUGCAACGGAAGAGAAAUGCACCCAAAAAAUAAGGUAUUAUGAUUAGCAUGCGACCAUUCAUUGAUAUCCUAGUAGCCAAUGUAAACAGCUACAACCUGAACAUUCACAAUCAAUAAAUCUAUCGGAUAUCGCAUGCAACCUGAGGUACAUACAACCUAUUCAGUGCAUCUAUUCAAGUCAUAAUAAUAUGAAACAGGCACUACUUCUAAUUCUCAUUAUUGCUAUACUCUAAGAAACAUGGUAAGAUUCACGAGCACAAAAAUGGUAGGUGAUGAGUCUGAGCAAGGGUUUUACUGAUGACUGGGAUAUCCAUCUCCAGGCCAAUGAGCUCGAGGAGCUUGAAACCGUCAAUGCCGGGCAUGAAAACAUCGCUGAUAACCAGGUCAAACUGGUCAUCCCUGUCCUUCCUCUCCCUGAGCAUGUCCAGUGCCGUCUCCGCCUCCAUCACUGUUGUCACUGCAUCGCAAUAAUUCCAACAAAAAAAAGAGGAAAUCAUCAAAAAAAUCAUCAUAUGGCCUUGACCUCUGAUCAGUCGGUCAUAAAGGAAUCGGAGCCAAGAAGGCAUGAACGAAAGCUCACCAUUGUUGUAGUUGCAAAGCUGUAGCAGUCUCUUUAGGACCGAGAGGCCGGUGCAGUCAUCGUCUACGGCGAGCACGCGCAGCCCUGCUAGGAACUUGUUCAUGUCCAUCUCUUCCUCCAUCAAAACAAACACGAUCAACAGCAAGAAAGCAACCUUAGAACAGCAAAAAUCCUGCAAGAAAUCUGACAACACCAAGAAAAACACCCCCAAACCCAAGAAGAUUGGACCUUUCUUUACCUGCUGCAAUGGCUUCCGUCCAAGAAUUUCCUGGAGGCUGGAGCAACACAACAAGAGGAUAUGAGUGUGAAGAAGGGAGUGAGAGAAGAACUCGAGGUGAAGAGCAAUGCAGCAGUGUGGAGGGGGAUUUAUAGCAGGGGGGCUGGGGGAGAAGGGCGGAUUCCAAACCAUGGGUCUGCAAGGAUGCAAGGUGUUCAACCUGGAGUUGGAUUCGCCUCUCAUUAAUUCCUUCCUUCAGUUAGAUAUGGCUCUAUCACCAGUGUGCUGGCCUUGCUUGUCUUUUCUAAGCUUAAGGCUAUAGUUCAGUUACUACUGGAUGGAAACCAGAGAAGAAUUGCCCAUGGAUUUCACUGGUUUUAAACCAAAUGUCAAAGGGUUGUUUUAGAGAGAGAGAGAGAGAGAGAGAUAACAAAAAAAUUAUUAUUAUUGUAGAAAUGCCAAGAUUAUUGGGUGUAAUCUUGGAAACCACAUGCCUUUCAUGCCACGUGAAAAAUCUGAAUGAAAGCUAUGAAUGUAUGAUCACCCAAGAUCAUCUUUGAUGUCUAAUAUGUUCCUCCUAUGGCGGAAUGAGCUAGUCAUUACCCUCUUUUGGCAAAAAGCGGUUAUCGCAUGAGCUGGCUGUGGAGGCAGCAAAACGUAAUGAUUGUUGUGGCAAUUGUUGGCGUGUAGCGUACUUGUAUCGGUAACGGUGGAAAUAUGUGUGAUGUCGUCUAUAUCAAUCAACGUAUAAAUUAAUGACAUUUCUGAAAUGUUGAUUAUUUCAAAAAUAAAAUCUGAAACGUUUGGGGAUAUUCAAAUUAGUAGUGACAAGAUCAACCCAAGUUGUGUAGCUGAGAUAAGAAACGGCCGAUUAUAUUAAAAGUUUUCAAGAUGGAUAAGGAAUGAGAUAGUCUGACCCUGUUUCAAACCAGGUACGUAAUACAGCUCGUGUACAUGAUCCAUUGAAUUAUGUCCAUGGAGACAAAGAAUUGCGUUAAUUCCAACUAUUUUAGGGGAAAAUACUUAUUGCUAGAGCUCCAAGGUAAUAUAGGGAUACCAUAGUGUAUAGUGUCUAAAUUUUUCUCCAAAAUAAGUAGUGGAAGUUGUUGCAAGGGAAAUCUCGAUGAAAAAUCUUUUCUUCUAGUAGCUCGAAAUCAGUAGUACCUCACUGGAGUUUAGCAGCAUUCUCGGGUCUUGUUUGUAGUUUGAUUUUUUUUUGUACGGAGAAUAAUCAAAUUAUACGCUCUGAAUUUAUUCAUCCAGCUCAUCUCUAAUGUCUAAUCCGCUUGACCUUCUAUAUGCAUGUAUGAAUGAAGGAGCAUGUACGGACCCUCUUUUUGAGAAAAAAAAAUGGUUGUUGCAACGACUUCACAGAAGUGGUGUAACGUUUAUAGGUUUAGGGUUUAGGAUAAUAGUAAGUAUAUGCUGGUAGGUCAUCCAUAGCAACACAGAAGUACCACUUUUGAAAUGACAGGAUAUUUGAAUUGAGUAGCCGCAAGUCAAAACCUCGCAGUAUACACCUCAGAGACUAGAAACAAUAGUUCAAAAUGUUCUUGAAGUAGAUAACUGAAAGUAUAUUGAUGUCGCCUAGAGGGGGGUGAGUGAAUAGGCGUAACCUGAAAUCGUCGCCACUUGAAACAAGUUUAUCAACGACUUGCGGAUUAUUCCGGAAAUACUUCCAGAGAUUCCGCAAAUUACAGAAUCUCCGAAGAAAUCUCUAGAAUCUCCGAAUAUAGGAAACACACGCCUUAAGCAGCGGAGUAAAAUUGUCUGCCUGAAAAUCGGAAUUUCUGGUUUCAAAACCAGAACUUCCGAGUUUUGGCUCAGGCAGAGAGAACCCCUCAAACCUUAUGCGUUGCAAGUGAGGUAAAGAUCAAACCAAGUUUAGAGAGUAUGCUCAGAUGGUGUAUCUUAGUAGGAUCACAAAGCUCAUGCACUUCACAAACACUAACACCCGAGUAGAUCAACCAAUAUUACGAGAUCAACAAUGAAAUGAAAGUGCAAUGCAAAUGUAAGCAAACCACUGAGGAGACACAAUGAUUUGUUUCACCGAAGUUCAAAUUCACCCUAGGCAAAUCCUACAUCUCCGUUGGAAGCGAAGCUCAACCUGCACAAACUAUCCCGCGGCUCACCACACCUUGGGAACUCUUGGGCGACGCCUAGCCGUCAGGAGGCACACCUCCAAGAAUAACAAAUGCUUCACUUGAAACAUGACAAGGCAAACCAGUGCUAAGGCGUAUGAGUGCUCUUCUGGUGCUCUCAAAUGGUUCCUCUCUACAACCCAACUCACGAGAUCUAGCAAAGAUCACACUACCUCACAAAGAGGGGUUGGGGAGAGCUAUUUGGCUUUAGUUCAGUUUAGAACAGGCAAGAAGCACGCCAGCAACUGCAAAAACAGCCCCCAGCCACUGAGGGGGCCGUGGGGUAUAAAUACUCCACUCCCCAAAAUAUAGCCGUUAGAGUUGUCAGACCAAAACCGGAACUUUCAGUUUUCCAAAACCGGAACCUCCGAUUUUUCAAACCAACUAGCCGUUAGGGGUUAAGUUCCGAAGUUUUUCGGAACUUUCUCCAGAAAAUCUGGAACCUCCGGAAUCUUCCGAAAACUCCGGAACUUUUUGUUUUGCUACUUCCUGACCCGUUAGUGUGUACGUGUGGCUUUUUGUGUCUCUCAUCCCUCACAUAGGAUAUUUGAGCACUGAGACUUUAUCAAAUGACCAUGUGAUGUAUCCCUCCUGAUAGUACGACACACCUAUACUCAAGAUCAAAAUAUAAAUACCAUAUUCAUCCUCUUGAGUUUCUUUACCACGAACUAUGCCAUACUUGAUAAUCAUAUCUACUUGAGAGUUGCAUCCAUCUUUGUCUCUUUGGUUUGAGCACUUCAACCUUGAGUUAGUGACUUGGAUCAAUAUUCAACCGCAUAUGAAUGAAAUCCAUUUUUAGAUCACAAGUCACUUCUUCAUAUGACUCAAUUGCAUCCCAUUGCUAUACUCGGUAAGGCUUGACUUGAUACCUCAAAAUCCUCCAAGCACUAGCCGCUUCACCCUAGCAAAGCUCAUGGCCUAAGUCACUACUUGACCAAACUUUGCCUACUACUUCGUUGCUAAUCGCUUGCUUGAUUUCUUCAUCCAAUCGCUGUCGUAUUUGAGUAUAGCUAUGUUUUGACCUCACGAAUGAAAUCCACUUGAGAUUAUAUCUUCUUUUAACUUCUAUAUCACAUUUGUUUAUAACAAGCUUCUCAUUUUAUUUAGAGACUAACUAAUAUCUCAAUGCCAUCAUGCCUCUAGCUUUACUUCAAUUUGCUUUGUCACAUGUCACACAUAGCCAUCAUGGGAUCCACAUAAUAUUCCUUAUUAUGACAUUCAUCUUUAACUCAAGCAAUCUUGCAAUAUGAGGCUACCCAAGCCUCAACUCUCUUUUACACCAUUGCUUGCUUAGAUGAACAAUGCCAUAUACAAUACUUGUUCUUUUCAUUGUAUGAGCCAUUUAAUACAAUCUUUCUCACAAAGAUUAUUUAUCAAUAGCAUUAUACCUGCUCAUAUACUUAACAAGUUCAUUAGAUCUUUAAUCAUGUUGUCAUUCAACUCACCAAAACCCACUAGGAGCCUAGAUCCUCUUUCAAUAAGGAAUGAGAUACCUUAUUUAGAAGCACACUUGAUACUGAUGCAUGAUUUUAUGAACAUUGGCAAUGGAGAUGAAGAAGUUUAUUAAUUCUUUCCAUCAAAUAAAAUAUAGGGAUUACGACAGCUGUGUAUUUGAUAAAAUUUACUCCAAGACCAAUCAUGACAUUAAUUUAUUUCGAGUGAGAAUAUAUAGCACAUACAGAACUUGCUAAUACUCCAAAGUGAAUGUCAUGUAUCUAGGGUGUCUGGGCCUGAGCCGGCCCAACAGCAUGUGGUCCAACAGGCUCAACAUGCCGACAAAAGGGAUUGUGCUACAGUAACCACGAGUGCUAUUGUACGCCUAGUGCUGAGAGUCCGCCUAGGUGAGGAUUUAGAAAGAGUCUAGGAAAUAGUAUUGCUUGUAAUUCAAGUCGAGUUAGGUUUUCUUGUAAGUUAAGUUAGCUUCUUCCUAGAAAUAUGAGAGGAGGGGUAAUGGAUUCAAUCACGUAGGAAAAAUAGCUUAGUUCCUCUCCUACCUUUUGCUAAUGCAAUCUGAAACAGCUUCCCAGCCAUACACCUCCCCAUCAUGAACAGUAACACCCCCAGCCAACCCUCCUUGGCCUCCAGCCACCCUCUCCUCCCUAUACAAUAAUUCAAGUACAUGACAGAUUGGUAUUCAGAACCAACAAUCUUUGGAUCUAGGUAGAAAAUUUUCUACCCAAUUUUUUCUCUCCCUCCUAAAACCACCUUUCUGUGAUGGAAGUUAACGAUAACAAAACUGAAGGAGAUCAUGAAAAGAUCCUUACAAAAAUUGGAUAUUCUCGGUGAAGCAAUAGAAACUUUUUGUAGAAUUGGGGAGCUAACACCUUCAACCAUGGCGGAAUAACACGGCUCUGCUCACCACGUAAACAGUGGUUGUGGUACUGUUCAUGAUGUGAAAGUACCUGUGGUACUGUUCGCCUCGUGGACAUCCCCAGUUUGGCCGCCUACAAGAUGGGAAAUGCCAGUGACAUUGCUGAAUAUCAAUCUGCUUCAUCAAUAACAAUCCCGACUAGCUACACCACGACCGUGUUUGCAUCUACUACACUAUGUCGUGCCUUGCAUCAUCAUCUUCCUCAACGCACAUGUGCUGCCGUCAGAAGCAAUGAUUCCACCUCCAACACCUAUAGCGCAGUCAUCUACAUCACCUUUUCCAACAGCAACUAUACUGACAGAUCUUGUCUCUACUUUGACCUACUGCACCACUACGUCAAUGACUACUUCUACCUUGGAGACAUGUAUCAAGGCGCCACCUGCCAACACUACACCAACAUUAGACCUAGAUGCAAGAGAUAAAUCUACCAUCGACAUGGAGGGGUUUGCCUCCACCAGAUCGUCUACUUCUCCAGCCCUCACUCUACACUAGGAUGACAAUGAAUCUACAUCUACAACUACCCCGAUUUCAUCCUUCAUUGACAACUCCGCGGAGCAACACGUACAAGUGAUUGUUACUAUGACUCCUGUCACGGGAACUAUCAUGGCAUCACCGCGCUCGUCGACAGUUUUUGAGGCCAUGACCUCGCAAUCUCCUACUCAAUGGUCCUAGGCUCCUGGGUUCUUGGAUCGUCAAACAUUCCCACUCCCUCCAACCCUUCCAUGCCAUUAAUUACAUUGAUCAGACUUUAGCCACUUUUCAAAUCAUGGCCAUACAUUAUUUAAUGUAGUAAUUUCCUUCCAAAAUAUUCUUUAUUACUUUCUCCUAAAUAUUGCUUUCCCGAUCACCUCAAUACCACUCACAUCCAGUUCCAUGUUCCCUGCCACUAAUUCCAUUGCACACAUUAGUUUUUAAAACCGCUGUGUUAGCACAGGUGAUAUAUAUUAAUAGGCUUGGAAUGACCCUGCAAUUGUGUGGCUAGAGAUUAAUUUUAUUCGCAGGUCCAAAAAGGAGAGGAAUUUACAUUAACUCAAUAUAGGUGCUAAUUUGCAAUGCUUAACCGUUCGUUAAGCUUAUUAUAGGAAGUAAAUAUAACUUCAAAGUGUUGCAAAUCUGGUUUUCCAUCCACGUAAACACAUGUACUAAGGUUGAGAAUACCAUUCAAGAGUAAAAUGUACCUAGGAUUCUGAUCUUGGUCCAUAUAUAUAGUCUCUUAUUGUGAGCAUCUAGAUCCUUAAACAACUUUUUAAAUGGUUCACUCUAAGUUCACAUUAGGUGCAGUAUUAAGUUUGGAUUUUCACUUGAAAUGAACCACUUGACAAGUUUAAGGGCUCACAUGUUCACUUAGAGAGUUAUUUUAUCUCGAACACGUAAGAGAAUUGUGUAUCAUUAUAUUAAGAAGAAUAAAGAGUUUAGGGUCUAAAUGGAAAUUCAGAACAAGUUAAAGGUCCAUGGGUGCGCAUUACUUCAUUUUAAAACACCAGAGUCCUAUUCUUGAAGGAAACCUGCCAUAUUUAGCGUUCAUAUAUCUGUGCAUAAAUAAGGUAAAAGAGCAAAUAAAUGGUUGUCCUGCUGGUUUUGAUGCAUGCACGAUUAGUCUUUGUCCCAAACUAAAAACAUGACACCUUCGGUUUCUUCAUGUUGGCUGAUUGUAACUUGCAUUUUUUUUAGUCUCAGAAUUCUAAUUGAUUCAGCGCGCGCCAUCAAGGCAACAUGGGUUGUGUUCGAUGAAAGAGGACCCAAUGACAAAGGUCUUCUGGACCUCAUCAAAUUGUUCAGCGCCUUGCAGCCUGCAAGUAAGCUUGUUUAUACCUUGACACAAAGUCUGAAUCAUGUCAGGCAAGGAAACUAAAAUCCCUGGUUUGAAUUUUUCUCUUGCUUGCAAGUACUGCUGUGUAUUAUUCUGUGUGAACUGAAAUAUGCCGGUGUUGAUCUCCAACAGGAGCAUGUUCUUGCCUGCAACAACUCAUAUGCAGAAUUGCAGAGAUAACCAUGCCAUGUUGAUCUUCAACAAGAGCAUGUUCUUGGCAUACAUCUAUCUUUACGACGACAAGACUUGCGAGCUGGAUGGCUCAACAAAGACCACAUUGCGUCACCAUUAAACAUUAUUGUGGAUAUGUAAGUGUAGUAUCAGAGUUUCAGUUUGCUGGUAUGAAUAUGAACCCUCAGUGAAAACAUAGGUUGGUAUUUUUCAAGUGUCCAUCGCUCAUGUGGUGUUGUCCAGAUUGCAUAAUGUUCUAGAGAGAUAAGGUACUCAGGUUCAGAAGCAGCAUUAUCUUCUCCAAUGGAAUACAAUAUCUGUGGAGUCGAGGCUGGUAGGUCUAUAUCAUAAUUUUGUUUCACUAUCUGAUCAUUCAUCUGGAUAGUUUAAGUCUCCUAAUAACAUAUGUGUGGGGUGGGGGUUAUUACUUGUAACAAGUUUUCGUUGUGCUACAGUCAGGUGCUCAACAUCUCAUCAGCAUGAUUAGCAAGAAACAACAGGAGAAAAGUUGUAAGGCCAUAGUAGUCUUUUUUUCAGAUUCACUUAUCGGCAGUUACUUGUCACGGCGAUCAAGGACUUAUCAUUUGAACUAUGUAUCUGCAACAAAGGGUGCUACAGACCGGGUUAUAGAACAAAGGUGACAAGAAAGUUUAGGUUAUACAUGGAUGGAGAUGUAUAGCUCAGUACGAUCAGGACAUGGAGGAGAUAUCCUACCACAAAGGUACUAUUGCUGUUACGAUCAAGGACUGCUAAAUCUGAAACAAAUAUUUGAUCCAAGGAAAAAUAAAAGAAAGCAGAAGGAAAUUUCCAUCGUACACAGCACAGGUUGAUCAACAAAGUUAAGAUGACAUAAAACUAAGUUAAAACUACAGCUGAUACAAGAGAGAACCCACAUGACUAAAACUAGAUAAACAUGGGAUUCCGCUGAAGAUAGCCUGCUCCUAGCUAGCCUGCUACUACAUAACACAAUUUUGCACUUGAGACAAGCAACAACCAUGGAUUGGUCAGCAGCUGCAUGCAGAACAUCUCUCACAUGUUCCCAUUGAAGAAAGCAUCACCAUUGCUGAGGAAAUCAGAUUGUCAGAAAGAAAAAGUUUAGAUAAUUAAACCUUAUUUAAGUAUUCAUCAGUUUCACAUGUAAAUCCUGCUGUAAAAUAAAAGGAUAGGAAAAGAGCAAGAAUGGUCUUACUUGCUUAACCCAGUCAGCCAAAAAGUCAUCCAAAUCAUCAAUCAUCGCCCCAUCUUGCGCUUCGCUUGUUCCGGUAGGGUGUUCAUUGUUGUUACUCACUUGAUCACCAACAGCUUGCUGAUCAACGGUGCCACCUCCAAGGAAGUUUCCAGAUGAACCCCUAUCACUCAGCAUCUGCGUCGGCAUAACAGAAUUUCCUAUCUGAAGGUUAGCCAAUGCAGGUCCAACACUUGAAGAACUACCCAAGGCAGAACUACCGACCGACAUUGCAGAGAUUCCAAAGUUGAAUGGUGCCACCUGCCCACUAAAACCUAGCAUUGGUGUGGUUCUCCCUGAUAGUCCUGCCAUUUGAUUAUGAUAUUCACUUCCAAAAGUUGGAACAUCGCCAGAGGAGGCUACAAAUCUUGAUGUCUGGUUGAUCCUGGCACUGCUUCCCUGUGAUGAACUAAUAAUAGAUGUUCCUGCACUAUGACCAACAUCAGGGAACCUCGAUUGCACACCAACACUCCAAGAGUUGCUAGGGUUACAAAGUCCAGCAAAUUGGUGAGAUUCCCUAGCAACUUGGUUGAAAUGGCCAGUUGGAGAUGGCUGAAUCUGGAUUGAAGGCUGGUUCACCAACUCCGACGAAUGCGAUGGUAAAUGAUGACUCGAAGGAGCCACUUGGUUGAAUAGGCCAGUAGAAGAUGGCUGAAUCUGAAUUGAAUGUUGGUUUGCCAACUCAGGAGACUGCAACGCUAAAUAACUGGGAAGAGCCGGCAUAUCACCACCUGCUAUCUCUUCAAAGAAGCUGUCGGCAUCAAAAGGAAUACCUCUAUUUGCAUCCAACAUCUUGCGACGCAAUAUGCUUGCAUACGAGCUGCAAGAACGAGUCGAAGGAAAGUGCAUGCUGGUGGUCGAUGGUGAACUGUCAUUUGAGAUGUUUGCAAAUGAAUUGCCAGAAGUACCAGAAGAGAAAGGUCUGCUUGUGUUGAACACCACACCAUUUGAUAUAUUUCCAGAUGAGCUGCUAGAAGGACCAGAAGGGAAGCACUGGCUUGCACUUGACAGCCCACCAAUUGACACGGUUCCAUAGGACCUGCCAGAAAAGAUUGAUCUGCUCACAUCCUGCACUGGCACUGACACUGGCACAACAUUUGUGGGCAGGUUGACACCAUUGCCAACUGGUUCGGUAUCCUGCUGUAAAUUGUGUGUUCCGAAUGCUGAUGGGCAACUUAUCCUUGCAAAACCAUUGCUUGAGCUGGACGUGCCAAUAGAGGAUGGAGAUGGUUGCACAAGUUCUAGAUGAUCCUGGGAACUGUUUGGUCCAUUCAUGUUGGCAGUUGUGUCACUCAGCCAUGCUUGUGGUUCAUCAACAAAAGGAUUUGAAUGGCUGAGUGUGCCCUCACUCAGCUUCCUCAGGUAGAUACGGUACUUCUGAAAUCAAAAGAUAGACAAGUUUAUUUCGUUAAUAAAAAAGAUUGAUAAGGACGUCAACACACAAUUGAAAGUGUUUUGUAGUAGUAAUGUUACAAAUGUAUGUGUUAAUCCCAAACUCAAUAUUUGUGUGCAAGCCAUUAGAACUUUUAUGUGUGGCACACGCAAGGUUCAGACGAGUGUCGCACACACAAAUUCCGUUGACAUAAACACAAGUAUUGUGUUUGAGAUGAUAACCCAGAAGAAACAAGUUUGAUUGAAUAUAUUGAACAAUAUUAUAGCAGAAAGAACUCAAACAUAGUAUUCAAGCAUAAUAGUAGAAACAAAACCUGCAGAUGACUUGCAACAUUGUCUCUACUGAGGCCGUCCACAUUCAUCACUUCAAGUAUGUUCUUUGGAACAGCCCCUGCAUUAACAGAAACAAAAUAAUUGUUACUUGAAACAAAUUUAACAUAAGAAUUAUGCUUCUUGUUGAUAGAUUUGCAACAAAAAGAGAAUCUUACUGUCCAUGCCAAUCUGAUUGAUGGCUUCCACAAACUUGCGGUGUAGCUGACCAGACCACUUGAUCCUUUGCCUCUUCUGGGUUGAUGUCCCCUCCUUGUCCUUUUCAGCACCAUCUCCAUCCUUUUUGUUCUUCUUCGAGUGCUUCGUGUGGUGUGCACUUUUCUUCCCAUCAGUGACGCUGUUCCUCACAUCGGUUCUAUCCUUCCUCACCACAUGCUUCCAUAUGUUUCUAAUAUGUUCCAUGCGUGUUGGCUUCACCAAAUAGUCACAAGCCCCGUUCUUUAUACCCUUCAUCAUAAUGUCCAUCUCAUCGUUUGCGGAUAGCACUGCAUGACACAUGGUCAACACAAGAUUAGUUAUGAAAUGCAAAAGCCAACAAGCUUGAUAGACUGGACAUCAAAUAAUUAACGUGCCUUUAUGUUAAUCAUUAGAGAUAUUUUUCCUUUUUCAUUUUAUUGAGUCAUUAUAUGUGCUGUUUACAUUAUGUUUGAAGAAAGUGUGUCACACAUGCUGCAGAACACCAAGUCCUGGCCAUGGCCACUUUUGCGUUUCAAAGAAUUUAAUAAGAGAAUUUAUAGAAUGUACAUUGUUCACCACAUCCUUAUUAUGAAAUCAACAAUAGCUCUAAUGACCAAUAUUCUUUUAAAGAAAACCACAAAAGUUUGUAGUUAUCUUGUGUGCACCAAGAGCUUACUAACCUACUGUGAUGCAUGAAACAUCAAAUGGUAGGAUUCUUAUUCGCUUGAUUUCAGCUAGUGAUUAUGAACUAACAAUAAUGUACAAAUUGUACUAGAAGCGACAAAAAAAUCAAUUGCACGUAGGGCUUACAUACAAACCUUAACUAAUGUAUGAAACUAAAAAUAACAAAGUAAAGGGAUCAACUUAAUGCCUUGACAACAAAAAAAUAUAGCAUGUAGGACCUCCAAACAAACUGUAAUGUAUGAAACUAAAAAUGACAACAUUAAGUGAUCAAUUCAACACCAUUUAUGGCUGGUAGACAAUUGGUAACAUACAAAAUUAUAAACAAGAAAAUUCAAUUGCAUGUAGGGCUUACUAACAAACUGUAAUAGUAUAUGUCGACGUUUAGUAACGUCAACUGGUGAAGAUUUGCCGCGUGAAUUCUCGGAUGGAUUAGCUCGCAAGACACAGGAGAUUUAUACUAGUUUGGGCGAUCCGCCCUACGUCCAGCUCGUGGUACAAGUUCUUUAUUCAUGUGCUUGAGGAGCACAGGGCUCAAGUUUGUAGUAGGGGUUACAAACGGUGCGUGUGUUCUACUGGGGAUCGAAUCCCUCUCCCGUUCCCCUCCAUGCCCUUAUAUACACGGCUCAUGGGAGGUGUUACACUGUUGGUCGCGUCCUCUUAUUCAGUCAGGCGUAUCCCUCUGACCAGUGGCCAUGGGCCCCGUCCCUCAGUCGGGGCUUCUCCUCGCUUGACUUCCGUCGAAACCUUCGUCCGGGGCCCGUUCGUCCGGUCGCCUCGGUCACCGAACCUGACCCCUACACUUAUCCGAGGGCGGCACCUGCCAUCAGUCUCAUCACCUGGCGUUGCCAUGAUUGUGGACGGAGACUGGGCAGGCAUGACCGGGCACAGUGUUGCGACACCGUCCCCGACUGGGGAUCUUUGUCUUGAAGUGGUUGUCGUGCUCUCCUAGGCACAGAAUACGGUACGCCUGACUGGUCAGCCCGUGUUUUCUUGUCUCAGCCCACGCGAGCACCGCUACGAUUGUCAUAUCAGGCAGACCUAGCCACGCCCUAGGGACGUGGUAGGCCUGGCCCAUCAUUGCGCCUCGACCUUCGCUUGGUAACUUGGGCCAGGCUAGCAAACUGUUUAUCUUGAUUCCCGGGCCUCCUUCUGGGGUACCGCCGGUUAGCUAAAUAAUGAUGUCAGUGGUUUUUCGUUCGGCCCAAUCGGUAUCUUCUUCCUAAUCUCACCCUUUUCCGGACUUGUCGAUCCGGGCUUGUCGAUAGAUUAAAGUAUCCCUAAUCUAGAUACCCGUAAGUAUAUGAACUAAAUUAGAAGUAACAAUAUGAGUGGUCAGUUCAACACCAUCUAGCUCUUAUGAACAAGCAGAAACGUAGAAAACACAUGCAAAAAGUUCAAUUUUUUUGUGGAGCUUACAAACAGGCAUAACAUAUGGAAUUACAAAUGAUAAAAUUAAGUAAUAAUCAUCUUGGCUGCACCACCAUGCCCUUACGAGAAACUAGGAACAACCAAAAUUGCAGAAAACUUAAACUAUAGUAUAUUAUAGUUUGAUUGCAACGGAAGAGAAAUGCACCCAAAAAAUAAGGUAUUAUGAUUAGCAUGCGACCAUUCAUUGAUAUCCUAGUAGCCAAUGCAAACAGCUGCAACCUGAACAUUCACAAUCAAUAAAUCUAUCGGAUAUCGCAUGCAACCUGAGGUACAUACAACCUAUUCAGUGCAUCUAUUCAAGUCAUAAUAAUAUGAAACAGGCACUACUUCUAAUUCUCAUUAUUGCUAUACUCUAAGAAACAUGGUAAGAUUCACGAGCACAAAAAUGGUAGGUGAUGAGUCUGAGCAAGGGUUUUACUGAUGACUGGGAUAUCCAUCUCCAGGCCAAUGAGCUCGAGGAGCUUGAAACCGUCAAUGCCGGGCAUGAAAACAUCGCUGAUAACCAGGUCAAACUGGUCAUCCCUGUCCUUCCUCUCCCUGAGCAUGUCCAGUGCCGUCUCCGCCUCCAUCACUGUUGUCACUGCAUCGCAAUAAUUCCAACAAAAAAAAGAGGAAAUCACCAAAAAAAUCAUCAUAUGGCCUUGACCUCUGAUCAGUCGGUCAUAAAGGAAUCGGAGCCAAGAAGGCAUGAACGAAAGCUCACCAUUGUUGUAGUUGCAAAGCUGUAGCAGUCUCUUUAGGACCGAGAGGCCGGUGCAGUCAUCGUCUACGGCGAGCACGCGCAGCCCUGCUAGGAACUUGUUCAUGUCCAUCUCUUCCUCCAUCAAAACAAACACGAUCAACAGCAAGAAAGCAACCUUAGAACAGCAAAAAUCCUGCAAGAAAUCUGACAACACCAAGAAAAACACCCCCAAACCCAAGAAGAUUGGACCUUUCUUUACCUGCUGCAAUGGCUUCCGUCCAAGAAUUUCCUGGAGGCUGGAGCAACACAACAAGAGGAUAUGAGUGUGAAGAAGGGAGUGAGAGAAGAACUCGAGGUGAAGAGCAAUGCAGCAGUGUGGAGGGGGAUUUAUAGCAGGGGGGCUGGGGGAGAAGGGCGGAUUCCAAACCAUGGGUCUGCAAGGAUGCAAGGUGUUCAACCUGGAGUUGGAUUCGCCUCUCAUUAAUUCCUUCCUUCAGUUAGAUAUGGUUCUAUCACCAGUGUGCUGGCCUUGCUUGUCUUUUCUAAGCUUAAGGCUAUAGUUCAGUUACUACUGGAUGGAAACCAGAGAAGAAUUGCCCAUGGAUUUCACUGGUUUUAAACCAAAUGUCAAAGGGUUGUUUUAGAGAGAGAGAGAGAGAGAGAGAGAUAACAAAAAAUUAUUAUUAUUGUAGAAAUGCCAAGAUUAUUGGGUGUAAUCUUGGAAACCACAUGCCUUUCAUGCCACGUGAAAAAUCUGAAUGAAAGACAUGAAUGUAUCAUCACCCAAGAUCAUCUUUGAUGUCUAAUAUGUUCCUCCUAUGGCGGAAUGAGCUAGUCAUUACCCUCUUUUGGCAAAAAGCGGUUAUCGCAUGAGCUGGGUGUGGAGGUAGCAAACGUAAUGAUUGUUGUGGCAAUUGUUGGCGUGUAGCCUACUUGUAUCGGUAACGGUGGAAAUAUGUGUGAUGUCGUCUAUAUCAAUCAACGUAUAAAUUAAUGACAUUUUUGAAAUGUUGAUUAUUUCAAAAAUAAAAUCUGAAACUUUGGGGAUAUUCAAAUUAGUAGUGCCAAGAUCAACCCAAGUUGUAGCUGAGAUAAGAAACAGCCGAUUAUAUUAAAAGUUUUCAAGAUGGAUAAGGAAUGAGAUAGUCUGACCCUGUUUCAAACCACAGCUAGGUACGUAAUACAGCUCGUGUACAUGAUCCAUUGAAUUAUGUCCAUGGAGACAAAGUAUUGCGUUAAUUCCAACUAUUUUAAGGGAAAAUACUUAUUGCUAGAGCUCCAAGGUAAUAUAGGGAUACCAUAGUGUAUAGUGUCUAAAUUUUUCUCCAAAAUAAGUAGUGGAAGUUGUUGCAUGGGGAAUCUCGAUGAAAAAUAUUUUCUUCUAGUAGCUCGAAAUCAGUAGUACCUCACUGGAGUUUAGCAGCAUUCUCUCGGGUCUUGGUUUGUAGUUUGAUUUUUUUUGUGUACGGAGAAUAAUCAAAUUAUACGCUCUGAAUUUAUUCAUCCAGCUCAUCUCUAAUGUCUAAUCCGCUUGACCUUCUAUAUGCAUGUAUGAAUGAAGGAGCAUGUCCGGACCCUCUUUUUGAGAAAAAAAAUGGUUGUUGCAACGACUUCACAGAAGUGGUGUAACGUUUAUGGGUUUCGGGUUUAGGAUAAUAGUAAGUAUAUGCUUGUAGGUCAUCCAUAGCAACACAAAAGUACCACUUUUGAAAUGACAGGAUAUUUGAAUUGAGUAGCUGCAAGUCAAAACCUCGCAGUAUACACCUCAGAGACUAGAAACAAUAGUUCAAAAUGUUCUUGAAGUAGAUAAGUGAAAGGAUAAUGAUGUUGCCUCGAGGGGAGUGAAUAGGCGUAACCUGAAAUCAUCACCACUUAAAACAAGUUUAUCCACGACUUGCGGAUUAUUCCGGAAAUACUUCCGGAGAUUCCGCAAAUUACGGAAUCUCCGAAGAAAUCUCUGGAAUCUCCGAAGAUAGGAAACACACGCCUUAAGCAGCGGAGUAAAAUUGUCUGCCUGAAAAUCGGAAUUUCCGGUUUCAAAACCAGAACCUCCGAUUUUGGCUCAGGCAGAGCGAACCCCUCAAACCUUAUGCGUUGCAAGUGAGGUUAAGAUCAAACCAAGUUUAGAGAGUAUGCUCAGAUGGUGUAUCUUAGUAGGAUCACAAAGCUCAUGCACUUCACAAACACUAACACCCGAGUAGAUCAACCAAUAUUACGAGAUCAACAAUGAAAUGAAAGUGCAAUGCAAAUGUAAGCAAACCACUGAGGAGACACAAUGAUUUGUUUCACCGAAGUUCAAAUUCACCCUAGGCAAAUCCUACAUCUCCGUUGGAAGCGAAGCUCGACCUGCACAAACUAUCCCACGGCUCACCACACCUUGGGAACUCUUGGGCGACGCCUAGCCGUCAGGAGGCACACCUCCAAGAAUAACAAAUGCGUCACUUGAAACAUGACAAGGAAAACCAGUGCCAAAGUGUAUGAGUGCUCUUCUGGUGCUCUCAAAUGGUUCCUCUCUACAACCCAACUCACGAGAUCUAGCAAAGAUCACACUACCUCACAAAGAGGGGUUGGUGUAACGCCCGCAGAAAUCACCAACUAAAACCACCCGUUAAAAACUAUCUUUAAAAUCUUUUUACCGCUGAGCUCCCGGAAGUCGGAAAUCUCCCCGGCGAUUUCGCCGUCCCGGUACCCAUGCCGACCCCCACAUAUCUUUUUAUCUGUGCCGUAAAUCUCGCCGCGUGCCGUAGUCAGACCGCCGCGCGCGUGCUCUGACCGCGUGCCGCAAUCGCCGCCGGUCCCUCUCUUUUUCUUUCUCCUUUUCCCCCUUUUCUUUUCCUUUCUUUUCUUCCUUCUUCCUUUCUUCCUCCUUCUUCUCUCUUCUUCCUUCCUUCCUCUCUCUCCUUUCUUCUCCUGGCACCCGGCGCCACAUCCACUGGCGCCACUCCUCCGCCUGGCCCGGCGCCAUUACUCCCGCCGGCGCGCGCGCUCCCUGGCGCCACGCCGCCCGGCCACCUGGGGCCCGCCACCGAGCCACGUGCCGCCGCCCGGCGCCGGCUCCCCAGCCGUCUGGCCCGCCGGCCACCCCGGCCGACGCGCCACUCCCGGACCCCUACCUCCCGCACGCCGCGGGACCCGCCCUUUGCCGUGCCGACCACCGCAACGCCACCUCCCAGCUACCAUGCCACCGGCUCGGCCUGCCCGGCCCCUACCCCGUGCUCCGGCCCCGCCGGACACUCCGCCGCACGCCGGCCACCCGGACCCCCACCACCGGAGCUCUCCCCACCGCCUAUAAAAGGGUCGGCCCUCGCCGGCUCCUCUCCCCACUCACCAACACCACCACCCGCCACGCCCUUACUCCGGUCGCCGACGCCGCCUCAAGCCGCUACCGCCGCUGCGAGCCGCCGCCGCCGCCGCAAGCCGCCGCCUCCUCCCGCCCGAAGGCUGACGCCAUCCGGCCGCUCCUCCCCAUUUCCCCCCAAGGUGAGGGGCAAAACGGAGCCCUCCACCCCAUCCUCCACCACCCCGGCCCUCGGCCGCCGCCGGCGAAGCCGACCGGCCGGCCGCCGCCGGCCACCACCCACUCUCUCUCUCUCUUCCUCUGGUUCCUGGAAGAAGAAAGAGCAAAAUUCCUAAGAAUCCCGAUCUGACCCCCUCUUUCCCCCUAUUCGCAAAUGAGUCCUUCCACCACUCCCAAGGGACUCUCACGGAUAAGCCCCUCCACCUCUAUAAAUAUUUACAGAUAGGUCCCUGGUUUAUUACAAAUCAGUCCUAAACCUCCGUUUAAGCCCCUAAUUCAUGUUUAACCCGUCAUUUCAUGCGCCAAACUUCCUCCAAUUAAUCCCAAAUUUUACCACGUCAUCCUCUGGAAUACUUUCGCCGAUCUAUAUCCAAAUUUCCCAAAAAUAAUCCUUCUACCUAUUUUCCGUUCGCGUUUCCUGUUCGGAGCUCACGGUUAAAAACCGUUUCCUCUUUUAUUUAUUUGUGUGUCUGUUUGUGCGUACCGUAGAUCGCAGAUUGCCCGAGGAGGAGCCCGAAGAGGAGUUUGACCGCGAGCCCGAGCCCGAGGACCAGUACCGCGAGCCGGAGCUACCGGAAGGCUUUGAAGACGGCAAGUCCAAUCUCACCCUUUGAUGCAUACUUAAUACCUAGCUUUUCAAACACAACCUAUUGACCUGUUUUACAAAAUGCAUAUUAUUUCAUCGCAAGACAUGGUUGGAUAGCCACCCCUUGAUUGUUAUAAACAUUCCUUGUUAUCCUACGCUUAUCUCUAAAUAUGACUUGCUCUGUUUAGAUGAUAACCACUGCUAGAACGCUUAGGAAUUUGUUACUCAACUGCAAUCAUUAUUACAAUGGUGUAUUCGGAAAAUAAAUGUGUGUGUGUGUCCAAGUAAAAGAAAUGACUUUUGGGUUCGGGGAAAGAGGAUGUGUAGACGGGAUGGAUGGGUGUUCCUUGUGUGGGAUGCCCUGUUGUUGUGCUCGUACCUUGGUGGUUGAGCAAUGUCGGGAGAUAUCCAUCUUGUCAUGAUUAAGGACCGAGUUGAUGUGUCAUCUUGCCUAAUUCCACCAUCGUGCAACCACUCGACCGUUGUAUGGGCAACGGCUUAGCAUAAAUCCCACUAGCUGAAUUGUCAGUCCUCAGGGGUGCUGGUGAGCAACGGGAACCCAUGGAAAAGGAGUAAGAUCUUGGUGACUUAGGUCCCGGUUACGGUAUCAUGGACGAGCCGUGAACCCCUUGGGUGUUUCCGCGAGGACUAGCCAGUCUUAGCUAAGGUGGGUAAUGGCUUUGUUAGGAUCCGUACCGUCACUAAGGUGAUCGUGAUGCGGUACCCUACUUGUGGGAAAAGUGUACACCCUCUGCAGAGUUAAAACCUAUCCGGGUAGCCGUGUCCACGGCAUUGGACGAGUUACAGCUUGGUCACAUAACUAGUACUUGGGCAAGGUUGUCAUGUGUGUGUGUGUGUUGGAUUUUGGAAGAGUCCGGCAGAUGUGCCGUGCGCUAUGGCGGACGGGGAGUCCGAUAGCGAUAAAAGCUUGGAUCCUUUGUGUAGGAUCAACCCCACUCAAUGUUUCGGGUAUUAAAGGAAAACUUUACAAAACCCUUUCGAAAACGAUCCCCUGCAUGUGUUAAAAUUUAGCUUUACCGCAAAUAAACUCUAGCCUAUCCUUGAUGUACCUGUGCAUAAACUUGCUUGUAUCCCCCUCCGUGGAUGGGGUUGGACUUGUUGAGUACGUAUGUACUCACCCUUGCUUCGUUGCUACAGAGGAGGACCCGGACUUCGUCGCCGAGGACCUUGAGUAGAGGUUGUGUCCGCACCCGACGCUGCCUGUGGUGUUGGCCUACCCAAGAUGCUGCUGCUGCCGUGUAGCCCCGAGUGCUGUCUUUUGGUAGUCGCUUGGUUAGCUGCCGUUAUUUAUUUACUGUUUAUCGCUGCGUGGCUUUCACGCCCACUCCCUCGGGAGUUGUACGGUAACUGAAUUAUCUGUCGAAUAAAUGUGUUAUCAGCCUCCUGGGACUGAUAUUUGUAUCACAUUUAGUCUCUACUUAUGUGGGGACGCUUCAGUUGGGGAGAGCUAUUUGGCUUUAGUUCAGUUUAGAACAGGCAAGAAGCACGCCAGCAACUGCAAAAACAGCCCCCAGCCACUUAGGGGGCCGUGGGGUAUAAAUACUCCACUCCCCAACAUAUAGCCGCUAGAGUUGUCAGACCAAAAUCGGAACUUUCAGUUUUCCAAAACUGGAACCUCCGGUUUUUCAAACCAACUAGCUGUUAGGGGUUAAGUUCCGAAGUUUUUCGGAACUUUCUCCAGAAAAUCUGGAACCUCCGGAAUCUUCCGAAAACUCCGGAACUUUUUGUUUUGCUACUUCCUGACCCGUUAGUGUGUACGUGUGGCUUUUUGUGUCUCUCAUCCCUCACAUAGGAUAUUUGAGCACUGAGACUUUGUCAAAUGACCAUGUGAUGUAUCCCUCCUGAUAGUACGACACACCUAUACUCAAGAUCAAAAUAUAAAUACCAUAUUCAUCCUCUUGAGUUUCUUUACCACGAACUAUGCCAUACUUGAUAAUCAUAUCUACUUGAGAGUUGCAUCCAUCUUUGUCUCUUUGGUUUGAGCACUUCAACCUUGAGUUAGUGACUUGGAUCAAUAUUCAACCGCAUAUGAAUGAAAUCCAUUUUUAGAUCACAAGUCACUUCUUCAUAUGACUCAAUUGCAUCCCAUUGCUAUACUCGGUAAGGCUUGACUUGAUACCUCAAAAUCCUCCAAGCACUAGCCGCUUCACCCUAGCAAAGCUCAUGGCCUAAGUCACUACUUGACCAAACUUUGCCUAGUACUUCGUUGCUAAUCGCUUGCUUGAUUUCUUCAUCCAAUCGCUGUCGUAUUUGAGUAUAGCUAUGUUUUGACCUCACGAAUGAAAUCCACUUGAGAUUAUAUCUUCUUUUAACUUCUAUAUCACAUUUGUUUAUAACAAGCUUCUCAUUUUAUUUAGAGACUAACUAAUAUCUCAAUGCCAUCAUGCCUCUAGCUUUACUUCAAUUUGCUUUGUCACAUGUCACACAUAGCCAUCAUGGGAUCCACAUAAUAUUCCUUAUUAUGACAUUCAUCUUUAACUCAAGCAAUCUUGCAAUAUGAGGCUACCCAAGCCUCAACUCUCUUUUACACCAUUGCUUGCUUAGAUGAACAAUGCCAUAUACAAUACUUGUUAUUUUCAUUGUAUGAGCCAUUUAAUACAAUCUUUCUCACAAAGAUUAUUUAUCAAUAGCAUUAUACCUGCUCAUAUACUUAACAAGUUCAUUAGAUCUUUAAUCAUGUUGUCAUUCAACUCACCAAAACUCACUAGGAGCCUAGAUCCUCUUUCAAUAAGGAAUGAGAUACCUUAUUUAGAAGCACACUUGAUACUGAUGCAUGAUUUUAUGAACAUUGGCAAUGGAGAUGAAGAAGUUUAUUAAUUCUUUCCAUCAAAUAAAAUAUAGGGAUUACGACAGCUGUGUAUUUGAUAAAAUUUACUCCAAGACCAAUCAUGAAAUUAAUUUAUUUCGAGUGAGAAUAUAUAUAGCACAUACAGAACUUGCUAAUACUCCAAAGUGAAUGUCAUGUAUCUAGGGCGUCUGGGCUUGAGCCGGCCCAACAGCACGUGGUCCAACAGGCUCAACAUGCCGACAAAAGGGAUUGUGCUACAGUAACCACGAGUGCUAUAGUACGCCUAGUGCUGAGAGUCCGCCUAGGUGAGGAUUUAGAGUCUAGGAAAUAGUAUUGCUUGUAAUUCAAGUCGAGUUACGUUUGCUUGUAAGUUAAGUUAGCUCCUCCCUAGAAAUAUGAGAGGAGGGGUAAUGGAUUCAAUCACGUAGGAAAAAUAGCUUAGUUCCUCUCCUACCUUUUGCUAAUGCAAUCUGAAACAGCUUCCCAGCCAUGCACCUCCCCAUCAUGAACAGUAACACCCCCAGCCAACCCUCCUUGGCCUCCAGCCACCCUCUCCUCCCUCUACAAUAAUUCAAGUACAUGACAUAUUGGUAUUCAAAACCAACAAUCUUUGGAUCUAGGUAGAAAAUUUUCUACCCAAUUUUUUCUCUCCCUCCUAAAACCACCUUUCUGUGAUGGAAGUUAACGACAACAAAACUGAAGGAGAUCAUGAAAAGAUCCUUACGAAAAUUGGAUAUUCUCGACGAAGCAAUAGAAACUUUUUGUAGAAUUGGGGAGCUAACACCUUCAACCAUGGCGGAAUCACACGGCUCUGCUCACCACGUAAACAGUGGUUGUGGUACUGUUCAUGAUGUGAAAGUACCUGUGGUACUGUUCGCCUCGUGGACAUCCCCAGUUUGACCGCCUACAAGAUGGGAAACGCCAGCGACAUUGCUGAAUAUCAAUCUGCUUCAUCAAUAACAAUCCCGACUAGCUACACCACGACCGUGUUUGCAUCUACUACACUAUGUCGUGCCUUGCAUCAUCAUCUUCCUCAACGCACAUGUGCUGCGUCAGAAGCAAUGAUUCCACCUCCAACACCUAUAGCGCAGUCAUCUACAUCACCUUUUCCAACAGCAACUAUACUGACAGAUCUUGCCUCUACUUUAACCUACUGCACCACUACAGGGGUGUUUGGGAGACAGGGGCUAAACUUUAGCCCUGUCACAUCGGAUGUUCGGAUGUUAAUUAGAACGACUAAAUAUGAGCUAAUUAUAAAAUUAAUAGCAGAACCCCUAGGCUAAAUCGCAAGACGAAUCUAUUAAGCCUAAUUAAUCCAUCAUUAGCGAAUGGUUACUGUAGCACCGCAUUGUCAAAUCAUGGACUAAUUAGGCUUAAUAGAUUCGUCUCGCGAUUUAGCCUAGAGGUUGUGCAAUUAGUUUUGUAAUUAACCAAUGUUUAAUACUCUUAAUUAGUGUCCAAACAUCUGAUGUGACAGGGGCUAAAUUUUAGCCCCUGUGUGCCAAACACCCCCACGUCGAUGACUACUUCUACCUUGGAGACAUGUAUCAAGGCGCCACCUGCCAACACUACACCAGCAUUAGACCUAGAUGCAAGAGAUAAAUCUACCAUCGACAUGGAGGGGUUUGCCUCCACCAGAUCGUCUACUUCUCCAGCCCUCACUCUACACUAGGAUGACAAUGAAUCUACUUAUCUACAUCUACAACUACCUUGAUUUCGUCCUUCAUUGAUAACUCCACGGAGCAUCACGUACAAGUGAUUGUUACUAUGACUCCCGUCACGGGAACUAUCAUGGCAUCAAUAGUCGUGAUUGCAUCUAAAACGAUCUGUAGUACCACCACCUCUACGUCGGCACCUUCUUCCCCUACUACACCAAACAAACAUGAAGGCAAAGACAUCAGGACACCACCCAUCUUCGUCACCAGAGCUGCAUCAAUGACACACUACGCCCGAGAGGAACCACAACCUCCACAAGUUAACUCCCCUAUGGUCAUCAUCUUCAUGCUACUCGUGUGCUGCUGUUUUUUCACAAGGAGGCGACAAAAACCAGCACACCAACUGUGUCGUAGCAUCUCACCAUGGGGCUACCUCGGG